UCUCAUUCUAUCUUGUCCUAAUGAGAGAUGUUCUCAGAAUGAGAAUCAUAGAAGUCUCAUAUCUUCAUUGCUUUUGGCAUUAUCUUCAGUGAAACACAGCUUGAAUGUAGCAUCUCAAACAGAAUCUCGUCUAAUUCUUUAAUACAAGGAUAGCUGAUAGAGGCACUGCCAGAAACUUUUUUUUUUUUUUCUUUCCUUUAGUCACAUAUUUUCUCAUAAUCCACUUUCAGCUCCUUGACCUAGAAGGUCUCUGUUUUCCAAGUCUGUAUUUUCAGUUGCUAUGUUAGAAAUAGACUUAUAUAUUGCUAUAUUCCAAUGGUUCUUUCCAAGAUUUUCUUAUGCUUUCACCUCUCCUCCAGGAGCAGUGACCUCUUCACAUUCUUGGUCCAGUUCACCAGGCAUGAAAUAACACCACUGGAUUGCAGUUCCUAGAUUGCUUUAACAAGAAUCGAAGAUGAUAACAGAAUGAAUUCCCAGGCCUCUUCUGAAGCACAUGGACUUUGAAUUUUAAGUAAUUUGUUGCUUUAAGGCUGUGCUAAGAUACCAACAAGUUUGGAUGGCUAAAGCAGAUGGAGAAAAUUUUAGGACAAAACAGUUCAAGAGCUACAAAGUGAAUGUUGCACAACAGUUCUGUUUUGUGACAGACAUAGGAGACAGGUUUUGGGUGAAGGCUGUGACUGUUGGACUCAACAUUUAA
rnacentral:lncRNA from 1 species